GCACUGUUCUCCACACAGACACUCCUUCAUUUUCUGAGAUUAUUUAUUUUUUCAUACCUCAGGAACAAAUAUGGAAAUGAAAACAGAACAAGACAGGCAAAUCCUGCAUCGGACUAAAACCUACAAAGGCCUGAGAAGCUCGGUGUGACUCCAGCUGUUAAUGCACACAUAAAUAUUCUGCUGCCUUGGAACACCAAGAAGGUACUAAUAUCCAAAAGCCAGAGGUAAAGAUAUGCCCUGGGACCUGCACUGGAGAAGUGUCCUUCUAGAGAGACAUUUCUGAGGGAGGCAACGGAGUUGAUCUUUUCUUCUAUCUGGAGGACCAUAUGAAGGAGGACACAUGGUGUAUACAUAAAAUGUCUCUCCACAGGCAAAGACAACCAAGUCACACAUCAGAGGUUACAAGAGAUCUUAACCUAACAGACUGCAGAUGUUUCAUGGAAGGGAGAAAUCAAAGUGAGAAAAGAUAUUGUAAACUAGUUUGAAAUUAUAGAAGUAUCAAUAAACAAUCAUUUCUACAAUUUAAGGGGGUAGGGGUGCAAGGACUCUUUUUUUCCAUCAAAUGUCAGUGUACCCUAACAGGACAUCUCUCUAUUGCCAGUGGCUGUUAGCCUUCAGAAUUUUAGUGAGAAAUUAAAGGUCAUCUUCCUAUAUGUCAUAUCCUACUGCAAAUUAGUUUUUGCAAUCACUAAUUGAUGAG